rnacentral:lncRNA from 1 species
AUGAAACCCCAAAUGAACAGUUCAUUUUCAGAUGAAUUAGGCUGUACCACAGAUGCAACUGAUGAGGAACAAGAUGACUUACCUUAUGAUGGAGAUGUAGGCAUAACCUGUAAAUACAAUAAUGAUUCAGAUAAUUUGAAGGACUGUACUUGUACAAAAUGUAUUUCUGGUAUUUUAAAUUUAGCCUGUUCCAAAGAUAACAAAACCAUGAAAGCAACAGCAAAUUAUGAAACUCAUCCACAGCCUGAAGAAUUCUCCAAUCAACACAGAAAUGCCAUAGGAACAACAGGAAUUUCAGCCGAAAUGCCUGAAAGUGAAGUUGCCUUUAAGAAGGAAUUACCUGUUGCUAGUUUUAGUAACCUAGAUAUCAAAGAACAUCCAACUCACUCAAAAAUGUCUGAUGUCCUUUUGCGUCACUUUCCUAAGGGAGAGUUAGUAAGCACGUGCCCUUUAAUUGAAUGCGAGACAAUACCAGAGACAUCCUUUACUGAAAGUAUCGAUGACACUGCAAACAAACCUGAGCCUCCAGAACAUGUCAGAUGGUCUUUAGUGCAUGAACAAUGGGCAACUAACUUUGAAGAAUAUCACUUAGAAAAGCACAAGGAAGUAAACAUGAGUGAUAAAAAUCAACAUCUGCUGAACAAAAACAGAUGUGUUUCAAAUAAACCUAUUUAUUUUACUGCUAAGUGUGGGUGCAGACAAGAAAAUUCACAAUUGAUUAAGGAGAAUGAAGAUUCACACGUCUUUCAAAACAUGAAAGAAGGGAGUGCCCUCUUACAGAAAACAGUUUCACCUCACAAGCUCAAAUAUGGCCAAGGUCAAGCUCACUACUGCCUUCCCGACUUCUCUGAAGUUGUUUCCGAAGUUGAACUACCAAAAAUAAGUGACAAUAUUAACUCAGUUCCUCCAAGUGAAAGAGCAAAAUCCUUCCCUAUUUUAAGUAAGUCAGUAAUUGUGAACAACAUUAUAGAAAAUAAGCACUAUCUCAAUUCUGCUGAAGUAGAGAAUCAAGAAGAAAUGAGCAUUCCAGAACUGUUGCAACAGCUAGAGGUAAUUAAGAUGCUUUAA